rnacentral:rRNA from 1 species
AUGAGGGCUUCUGCCGUUGCUUCGUUUGAGUACGACUCCCCUAGGAUUGGACGUACGACAGUCUGGUUCGUUCCACUGGUGUCUCCGGCGAGGCUCAAGAAUCAGAGAUUUUAUCGGCGACGCCCCUCGUGGGUGAUCGACGGGAGCAAUGAAAACAGUAAGUUGGAACUGCCGUGGUAUGGCCACUACUGCGGCAGUAAGGGCCCUUCUGGAUGUGCAGAAGCAAUGGAGGCCGGAUGCGAUUUUAACGAGAUCGUAUAUUCCCACGAGAAGGAAGGGGGAGCCCCUCGCCCCGUCCGGAUGAUGCAGAACUUCCGGGAUGCUCUUGUUGAUUGCGAACUAGAUGAUAUGGGCUUCUCCGGUGAGCAGUUUACUUGGAGAAGGCGUCGCAUCCGUGAGCGUUUGGAUAGUGCCGUGUAUAAUGCGGGGUUUCAUGGUUUGUUCCCGCAUGCAACAGUAACUAAUGCGCCACACCUUAAGUCUGAUCAUAGACCCGUGGUUCUGGAUACUGAGGGAGAUGAGGCCGAUCAUAUACACCAGGGUCAGAGGCAACAUCAGUUUGAAGCCCGCUGGCUGCAGGAGAACGAGGUGAUGGAGAGAGUCUCUGAGGCGUGGGCACGUACACCUGGCUCGGCGUCUCUGUCAGAGCAAACUGCUGCAGUACAUGGAUAA